CUAAGUUUGAUGGCGACCGGCGCACGGGUGAGUAACACGUAUCCAACCUGCCGAUGACUCGGGGAUAGCCUUUCGAAAGAAAGAUUAAUACCCGAUGGCAUAGUUCUUCCGCAUGGUAGAACUAUUAAAGGAUUUCGGUCAUCGAUGGGGAUGCGUUCCAUUAGGUUGUUGGNGGGGUAACGGCCCACCAAGCCUUCGAUGGAUAGGGGUUCUGAGAGGAAGGUCCCCCACAUUGGAACUGAGACACGGUCCAAACUCCUACGGGAGGCAGCAUG
rnacentral:rRNA from 1 species